rnacentral:ncRNA from 3 species
GAAACGCGAACCAAGCGGCGGCGUAAGCCGUGUGAGGCUUGGAGCUGGCCUCGGCAAUGAGGCCAUGCA